GAUGGAGCUCGUCAGCCCUAAUCGACAUGUAUGUGGAAGGAAUGUUUGAUCUGAAUGAGCAACUCAUGUCCUAUGGUUACCAACCAGCAGAUAAGAAGGAGCAACAUUUUGCUAAUAUGGUGGACAAGGCCACAAACAGAUACUUCCCAGCCUUUGAGAAGGUUUUGAAAGACCAUG